UACGUAGGUGGCAAGCGUUGUCCGGAAUUAUUGGGCGUAAAGCGCGCGCAGGCGGUUUCUUAAGUCUGAUGUGAAAGCCCACGGCUUAACCGUGGAAGGUCAUUGGAAACUGGGAGACUUGAGUGCAGAAGAGAAGAGCGGAAUUCCACGUGUAGCGGUGAAAUGCGUAGAGAUGUGGAGGAACACCAGUGGCGAAGGCGACUCUCUGGUCUGUAACUGACGCUGAGGAGCGAAAGCGUGGGGAGCAAACAGG
rnacentral:rRNA from 1 species